rnacentral:lncRNA from 1 species
CGAUUGCAAUUCCGACGUAUUAUCGGAGUUAACAACUUAUAUAUACAGCCGAUUAAUUAAUAACAAGCCAAAUCUAUCUCGACAGAUUCUUCCACAUCAACUGAUUUCAUCGAAUCUGCUUGGCCGAAGAAAAAAGAUUUUGUAUCCGGUGACGUCACGUCUGUAUAAGUCGGAGCAUCGUCAGUUAUUUAGUAAUGUCGCACAACAGUUGGGAUAAAAAUAAUAAUGCUGUCUAAGGAUUAGUUUAACGAGAAAUUUAAACACCUGUAAGCUCGGAAACAUUGUUAUUACAAGCAAGAUGCUCAAAGAAGAUGGAGAGGUGCCAAUCAAGAACGGACAGGUAAAUGUCAACAUGCAGCCGGAUGCCGGUAAGGAGAAAAAAGUCGAGGAGUUGUAUAUACCUACCCAAUUGCCAAACAAAUUAGAUUCCUCGCGACCUUUUACUCCAUCGUCAGAUGCAGAUACCGAUCCGUGGGCUUUACCGGAGUUUCAAGAUACUGGCAUUAAAUGGUCAGGUAAGAUGAGCAAUUCUUAUUUUCCAGUCAUUAGAUUACGAGACUAAUCCGUUAGUUAGGUAACUGCGAGGUUAAAAGAAGAAAAUCCGGUUUUAAGCUUUUUCUUGUUAUCGGUAUCGGCUUCACCGUAAAGCGGUCUAGGCCGGUUCGGAAGUUAAGGUUAAGGCGCAAACGCAAACUUGUUUUCCCACGCGUGAAUACUGUAUAUCUCAACGCAAUUACUGCUUAGAUAUUAAUCAGAAUUGGUGGAUUUAUGUGAUUCUCAAUUAAAUAUUAAAUACAGCUAUUACGGCAAAUUUUUACGCCAUCUACAAAACCCGAUUUAACUAUAUUUUGUGUGCUCAUAAUGUGUUCAACUCGAAAUCCACAACCAAUAAUAAUCGAGUAUCCGUGUAUAAACUUUAGGAAAUAAAAUUGUAAUUUCAAUAAUCACUUUAAGGUAGGAUGGUUUCGAUAGAUUAAUUAUUAGAUAAAAAAAUAAAAAUGCCAAGAAUCGGGAAUCUAUCGUGUUUUAUUUUAGAUAAUUCUACUUGGAUUUGUUUAUUUAAUAACCCUAAGUCUUAGUCUCUCUAGCCCGAAC